rnacentral:misc_RNA from 1 species
GUGAAUCAUCAAAUUUUUGAACGCAAAUUGCACUCUCCGGUUUUCCGGGAGAGUAUGCUUGUUUGAGGGUAAGCUUAAAAAAAAUCGACAUUGUUGAUGUUUUAUGGUGACUUUCGUCGGAGAUGGGUUAUCUUAAAUGACGGUGUAAGCGACUUAAAAAUUUUUUUUAAGAUUCUAAGAAUGUUUCUAAGAUUUUUUUUGAAUGUUUAAGGUAUAGAAUGUAUUAUUAGAUGUGGACGUCAUAUAGGAAGGCGUUAAUAUUUUAUUCGU